rnacentral:rRNA from 1 species
GCAAGUCGAACGGUAACAGAGGAGAGCUUGCUCUCUUGCUGACGAGUGGCGGACGGGUGAGUAACGCGUAGGGAUCUACCUAUUAGUGGGGGAUAGCCCGGUGAAAACCGGAUUAAUACCGCGUAAUACCUUCGGGUGAAAGGGUGCCUCUCCUUGGAAGCAUUCGCUAUUAGAUGACCCUGCGUCAGAUUAGCUAGUUGGUGAGGUAAUGGCUCACCAAGGCGACGAUCCCUAGCUGGUCUGAGAGGAUGAUC